UCAGAUCCUUAAUUCACAUUAAGACAACAACAAAAGACCACUUCUCCUAUGAAAUAUAAGAAUAAAAGUACAGCUGAAAACUGCAAGCUGAAGCCCUUUGACACUUUUAACAAAUUCCACAAAUGAAUGAAAGGCCUAUGUGCCAGACCAAAAACCCUGACCCUUGGCAGUAAUGAAAAUACACCUUAAAAUUCCAGGCGGACAGAACAACUAAAAAGCUAGAGAAACCAAGAGAAGAAAAGGGAAAAAAAAUAUAUCCUUAUACCCACCACAUUAACCAAAUUUGAAGCCACCUGGGGGAGCAUUCGGCUGGUUAGUUCCAAAAGCAAAGCCUUGCUGAUUUCCAUCUCCACCAUCUUGAACAUUCUGUUCCUCUUCUUCCUCAGCCCAGUAUCUUUCCAAAAUCUUAACAGCCUUCUCGUAAAUUUCAUUGUUGUCAUGGGUCUGCAGAUUCUCAAUUUUAUCCAAUCCAUCACAUUCAUCUAUCAUUUGUGCAUACAAAUUAACUCCGCCAUUCUUUCCCAUUUCCUUGUCAGCCUCACCCACCUUCAAAAUGUUUUCCAGCCCCUCAAGGCAAACUGUCACAAUCCUGGGGUCUGGACAUAUUAGAAGGUCACAGAGAGGUUUGAUGCAACCUUGGCUCACUAGAAAUUGAAUCUGUUCAUGAGAUCCUCCUGAGGUCGCAUUUGAGAUAGCCCAUGCGGCCUCCUUCUUAAUGUCAAACUCAGCAUGUUGGAGAAGCUGUACAAGAGGGAGUAUGAUACCGGCCUCAAUAAUAGCCUGUAUUUGAGCUCUAUUUCCAGCUGUAAUAUUUGAGAUUGUCCAACAAGCUUCUUUCUUAAUACUUUUUUUGUGAUUUUGCACCAGGAGUUGGUAGAGGCAUGGAAGAGCUUGGUUGUCAAUUACAAACUGAGUCUGAGCAUCAUCGCCUGUAACAAUAUUUCCCACUGUCCGCAGGGCAGGUAUCAAAACUGUAGGCGAUGGAUGAAUGAGAAGCUCCACCAGUCGUUGACAGACACCAGCCUCGAUGACAGCUUGAAUUUUGUCAUUUGGACCAUCUGAAAGAUAAGAAAGUGCCCAGCAAGCAUCUGUUAGAACUUCUUCAUCAUUCAAGUGGAUUAGUUGCCUGAGAAUUGGCAAUGCAGGCUUCACCUGCUCAAAUGGUGUUGGUGGUUUGCCACGACAGAAAUUAGAUAAAGUCCAAGUAGCAUUACGCAGCAUUGAUAGUUUAGAGUGUUCAUUUAACUGAGCUAGUAAUGGCAUCAGAGCACCAUGACCAAGAACAAGAUCCCUGCAACUUGGGGAGUCACCAGCAACAUUACCCAAAGCCCACACCGCCUGCUCUCUAACAUCAUCACUUGCAGAACCAAGAAGCUGCACAAACAUGGGAACCGCACCAUGAUCAAUGACAACUCGUGUAUGCUCUGAUGUACCAGAUGCAACAUUGGU
rnacentral:misc_RNA from 1 species